UGGCGGUUUACUUCUCCCUGGUUUUCAUGCCCAAAUCGCACUCUGCUGCCCUUGAAAAGGCCUAAGGCUUGGACAGGUCAGCUCACGGAAAAACAGUUUAUUUGAUGCCAAAGUUAGAUAAGGGAGAUGUCAGGGAAGAUGCGAGUUUUGUAUUAUCUUCAAGCUGCUCCACUGUGUUUCUCUGUGAUGUGACUUUCCUCAACACAGAAGAAGCAACCGCUCUCUUCAAAGAAGGUUGAAGUCUGGAUCUGGUGCUGCUGGAAAAGAUUGGCAACUGGAAAGUGCUCCUGAUGAAGAACUAGAACCUGGAAGGAAAUCUUCCCUGGCUCCCAAUUCAACUUCUUUUGAAAAAGGAGAAGUGCCAAGCUCCUGACAUCUCAGCUUACCUGUAUCUAACUUUCAAACCUUGAGUCAUGGAACCUCGACUGCCUCUACAGAAAAGCACAACAUGAACUACAUCUUUCCAGUCCAUAAAAGCCAAGAAGAUGAGGCAACAGUGACUUGUUAACUAAUAAACCUGGGGAGAGAUGGCUGUGGCUUAACCUGAUCCUUCCAACAUACAGUGUAUUUUUAACUUUAGCAUAGACCGAAGAAGUACAACUACAGUUAAGCAGUAUCUUGCUCAUAUAAUGAACCAGUAGCAAGAAAAACUAGGUUUUAAGUUGGCUCCUUUUCACAUGGGGGAAAUUUGUUUCCCUUCUGUUGGAAGCAGUGGCACAGAAUAUAGAAGCACUUAAUUCAGCUUAAAAGGGCUAUGUGAGCCAUUGAGAUCAGCCUGCUGCUGUCUGUACCAAAGUUAACUGGGCAACUCUUCUGCUAGCUCAGCUGUGAAAACAAGAGCAGCUAUUGACAUGCAAUGGCUGACAGCAUCUACCCUGGCUAAAACGUGGGAAGAUUCUCUAGUCAUGCACUACUAGACCUUGUUCUUUCAGGACAGAUUAUAUGACAUUAUACCGAAGGUGGUGGGUAUCUUGAUUUAUCCAGUCGUGCUUAAAAUUGCAGUAAGAGAUUCUGCUUAAAACCAAAUUUAGCUGCCUUUCUUAAAUUAAGGAUACUACCAAAGUACACUCACAUUAAAGAAAAAAAAAUAAAAUC